GCCCGGCUAGCUCAAUCGGUAGAGCGUGAGACUCUUACGAACACGUAGAUCCCCAAAAAGAUCUCUCCGUCAAUCUCAAGGCUGUGGGUUCGACCCCCACGUCGGGCU